GUUAAAGUAGAACUUUAAAGACAGCUAAAAUCCCACCGGUCCACGCGGCUGGUCAGGGUACAGCGACCAGUGAUUUACAAUUAGUCAUGCAGAUACACUUUUCACAUUAAAUUAGACUUUCUGAAGAUGUAUUUGUAUGUUUUGAGCUUAUUUUUAGCAUAUUUUAGGAGAGGAUGUCAGCGGAUUGCUGUUGUAAAAUGAUUCUGUGUUUUGAAAUCCACAGUGUUUGCUGUUGUUCAUGUUGUGAGUGAGAGGCCGAGGGCUUGUUAGCAUCAAGUUCACUGGCUUGUGUUAUAGCUGUAAUAGAAACGUCUGGGUAAUACAGGCUAAACUGAAUAGACAGGAAAUAUCUCCUCCUCAGAUGAGAGCCCAGAGGAGGAGGAUGAUGGUGGAGAAAUUGUGAUUGACGGCUCUGAUGACAGCGAGCAGGAAGAGGAGGAUGCCUGAAAAGAAGUGAAGAGGAAGACAUGGUGUAUGUCGAUGAAGACGAGUCAUCAAGGGACCAGAAACCAGGAAGAUGAAGAGGAUGCCUAGGUCGGGGCGAGGAGUACCAGAGCAAUUUAUUGUCAUUUUAUGCACAGAAUAUCAGUUUUUGUUGUUUUAUACCUAAAAAAUACAUAGAAACAUUUAAAAAUCAGGGUUAACUAUAAUAAUAAAGCCAAGGCAGCAUGUUUUCCCUCUAUUUUAUACAGUCGGUACUGUGUAUUCUGAUGUUCUCUAAUUCACUUUUUGCAAAAUGUUUUUUUCUAAACCAGUUCUUAGGCAUAUUAUGCCUGUCAGUUCAUACAAAGUAGUGUUCCUCCAUUUAAUGAGGAACGUCAUACGACAGCCUACACGCGUGUCGGUGAGAUUCUGACUGCCGCUACUUGUCGGCAUUAAAAUCUGCAUUGCAAAUUCUUCAAACAUAUAUUGCAGAAAACCUACAGUGGCAUUAUUAGUGGUCAUUUCAAGGCAAAGUUUUGGCUUUUUCUUUUCUUUCUUUUUUUUUUUUAAGAAUUGACGUGACAAGACAAACGUGUCAGAAGCUAAAUUGAUAUCAUCACAGUACAUUUCAGAUGCACUCAGUACUGAACCAAAAUUUGUUCUCAGGGAUGAUCAUGGUGGUAGUUUUAUUGAAAGAACAUUACUGAUUUUCAGACAUUUUCACUCUCUGGUUAUUGUUGGCUGUGUAUAAGGAAACGUGUACUCUACUGUAGUAAAUAGGAACAAAUUUUGUUUUAAUAUGCUACCUGUGUUUCUCCUUCUUCAUCUAUAUGUUCAGUCUUGUUGCACACCAACAUCCACCCCUGUAACGAUCUGUAAACCAUCUCCGAUGUUUAAAAUCAUGGUGUAGUUUGACCAGUGUUUCUGUGGAUUCCUACAUUUUUGUAACACUCCUACAAUAAGUAGCUGAGUUUUGUACUUUCUUUUCUUUAGAUUUUAACUUAAUUUGCUUUCUAAAACAUUUAAGAUUUCUUUUCAUGUAAUGUGUUUUAAGAUUUGUGUUAUCUUCUUUUUGAAAAGAUGAUAUUUAUUAUUGUUUUUCUACACGUUCACAUCAUGGCAUGCCGGCGAGCAUGAAAUGUAAGACAGGAUGAUUACAUUACUUACGAGGCUUUUUCUGUGCACAGUGUCAGUAAAUGUUAAAAUUCACAGCAACAUUAUGGGGUGAACUGUAACAAAAUUAGUAUUUGUAUUUGCUUACUUUUCUUAGCAAUGACUUGUAAAUAAUAUUUCAGCAUUGUCUUUUGGAUAAGACAAGUACACGUGUUUGAUCCAUGGAUGAAUUUAUCAAAUAAUCUGGAGUUUUUUCCUAAACAUGAUCAGAAAGUUAUAUUUUGUGUGCUGUGUUUUAUAGAACACUGUAGUUUAAAGAUACCUUAUUGUUUGUUGCUUUGGUUAAUUUUGUUUGCUUAAAGAUAAAUGUCCACCUUUUGACUCAGACCUAAUAAAAUAGGCAGUUGUUUCACUUUGC